CACUGGUUUGACUCCAGAGACUCACUUCUCCUCUGCUAAAAAGGAAAUUGUGGCUGUUUUUUUUUUUUUAUAGGUCAUAGCAGACUGCUGGUGGAGGGCCAUGUCAGCAAUGUCCUGCUUUGAUGGAUGUGGCAGCCCCACACACACACGCUCUGACAGCGCCCCCUAUUGACACGUCGCGAGCUAUUGCUGCUUCACAAGAAUGGGAGUCCAGCUGCUUCUGUUUCUCAUCGGCAACUCGCUCCCUCGAGUCUGCCUCGGGGGUCCGGAAGAAAAGAACAACCCACGCGAGGCCAAUAAGGAGUGGUUUGUAUGAAUAAGCAUAACAGGAGCCAUGUGGAUCUGCUCCCUGUAUUGCAUCUGCACAUAACAGCAGGCAUUUAUUGGCUGCGUAUGAAAUUCCAGCCCUAGCCAC